rnacentral:SRP_RNA from 1 species
UUUGGGAGAUUGAGUAGACAAGUUAUUCGCCAAUCCGGUCAGGUCUGAAAAGAAGCAGCCGCAACGAUGAUAUUUGGGUUACUUUAAUCUCCCACAGUA